GUUGCAGUCAAGUAUACACCCAUAUGGGCACGUUUCCGUGUCACUGGGUCCUAUAAGGUGUACUUAAACGCGGACGUGUCUCGUGCAGCUCUUUCCGAUACAUUUCUACGCAGGAAUUUUUCAUACAAGCGUUGUUCAUUUCAUAGGGGAGCCAUGCAGAUGCGUUUCCAAAACAAACGUACCCUAACCCAGACGGCCGCGGUCAGGUGUUAUAACGCAGGCGUGUUCUACACAGCCGUUUCCCACACAGGUAUGCUUCCGUUCGUCCACACUCCAGAGAUGUGGCUCAACGCACACGUCUCCCACAGGUGUGCCCGCAACAUAGGUGGGAGGUCCCUCUUACCGUAGCUCGCUUCCGCCCCCUUGCUGUUGUAGAAUUGGGUUCCCGUUACAGGUGCGUCCCUGGCGCGGCCCCACCCCCGUUUGGCUCCGCCCUCCCAUCUGGGCUCAGGUGCACGAGCCGGAAGUGCGCUCCUCUCCCAGGUGAGUGACUAAACUUUCCGGGUCACGUGAACGGGAGGAGCUGGAGGAGUCCGACCGAGCUACCGACCGACGCACCGAGGGUUCGAGCCAGGUACUCGGACCGGGCACCGGAGCAAGGUCGAAGACGCCUGGGCCAGGUGCCGGGUCGCAGGUACCCCCGGCCCGAGAUGCAGUAGAAGCAGCGCGCAGGAGAAGCCCGGUUCCCGGUGCCACCAGCCCGUCGCCCGGCCCAUGGCGAGCCCCGGCCUGGGGCUGCUUCUGGCGCUCGGCCUGCAGCUGCUGCCCGCCCGCUGGGGCCGGGCCUGGGGGCAAACGCUGGACCCCCCCGGAAAUGACAACAGCACCAUCACACCCUCUGACCCGGGCUCCGGCUCCCAUGGGGCGCUGUCUCAGGAGGCCAUCACCGCCAUCAUUGUGGUCUUCUCCCUCCUGGCUGCCUCGCUCCUGGCCGUGGGGCUGGUGCUGCUGGUUCGAAAACUUCGGGAGAAGCGGCAGACACAGGGCACCUACCGGCCCAGCAGCGAGGAGCAGGUGGGUGCCCGCGUGCCGCCGCCCCCCAACCUCAAGCUGCCGCCCGAGGAGCGGCUCAUCUGAAUGCCGGGGCCCCGUUGCCGCCUCCACCGCUGUCCAGGACUGCCCGGCGCUCGCUCACACACAGCAGCCGCCACUGAGAAAACAGCCUCUGAUGUUCUCCCACGCAGCCGAGGCCCGGGCUCCCCAGGACUCCAAGGAGACAGUGCGGGGCUGCCUGCCCAUCUAGGUCCCUUUUCCAUCUCUCUCUCUCUCUCUCUCUCUCUCUCUCUCUCUCUCUCUCUCGCUGUGUGACCUUGGGGGAAGGCAGAGCCCUCUCUGGACAGUCAAACCUACCUAGUGCUUAAGAAUAGAAGGGAGGAAGGUGCUUCCAAGACUCUGCCCCUGAGGGGAAGGGAGGGUGGUGCUGCUUACAUUUUAUAUAUAUAUAUAUAUAUAUACAUACAUAUAUACAUAAAUCCCAUAGUGAGAUAUAAUAAAACCUUUUUUUUUUUUUUAAGCCGGUGGGACAGGAGUCAGUCUAGAUGGAGAGGACAAACUCAGGGCUCAUAGGCUGUUGAGAGAUGAAUUGCAAGGGUGCAAGAAUCCAGGGGGGG